GGGGGGGGGGGGGCGGUCACCGCCGAGCCCAAACGGAGACUGGGACGCAACCAUGGCGAAGACCUCACCUUUAUGUGAUUGUUUAUGGGACUAAUGGAGUCCAUGUGGGAUGGAGACGGGUGUCCCAACUGCUUCCUGCAGUCCUACUGGAGAAGAAGAAUAAUAAUCUUCUUCUUCUUCCUCCUCCUGCCUGCCUGCCUCUGCCUACCUGACUUUAAUGUCAUAUUAGUUGCCGGUUCGUUUGUUCUCAGUUUCCAUGGGCACAGUGCUUGUCUGGAACUUUUGCGUAGAGCUCACAUGGUGAGCUUCCUGCUCUCGCUCUCGCUCUCCCCAGAGGGGAAUAUAGUGGUGUGCAUGCACCGAAAAGAGGAAGGAAGCGAUGCGAGCAGGACAUGGCGAGGAGGAGACUUCCUCUGUACAGCACUCUUGUCUCACAACGAGCACAUGCCACCCACUCGACCCAUCCCCAGGAAUCGCACACGGUCGGUAGGAUGUGUGUGUGUGUGUGUGUGUGUGUGCAGGAUGAAUUGUUCCUUCGCUUUGGAAAGGGAAACGGAUGGAAGAAGGAGAGCAAAUGUGAAGGAACAUGGGAAAGGGAAAGGGAAAGGGAAAGAUAGAUAGCUUGCUUGCUUGCUUGCUGCUCUUCCCUUUUCCACCUCAAGAUGAUGAGGCUGAGGCUGAGGCUGAGGCAGCAGCAACAGCAGCAUCGCAGUUCCCUUUCUUCUUCUCUUCUACUUGCUUUCCCACGAAACAAGCAAGGAAUAAUAAUCUGGAGGAGGAAGAUAUGGUCACCAUAACCAUAUAAAACUCCCACAAUAUCUCGAUGCGGGGAUUCAGAAAUGAUUUAAUUGGAGCACGAAUCCUGACUGCAGCGACCACUAUGGAUUCGGUCGCAGCUGCCAUUAGUACUAUAUAAAAUUGGGCAGCACUUUGCAUGCCCAACAUGGGGCCUAUGUGUAGGCUCCCAUGUUGCCUUCUUCUUCUUCUUCUUCUUCUUCUUCUUCUUCUUCUUCUUCUUGUGCUACAAUCACAUCUGAUGCCCUAAUCCCAACAGCUCUAGAUCGAAUCAGGUGAUCACGAAUCUCAAGGACUCUCGGAUACAUGUUUUAACAUUUGGCUCUCACAAGUGCUCCUCCGAGAUAGAUGCCUUUGCUUAUUCCAUUUGGUUUAGUUUACGAGACACAACACGUGGCAGCACAGUGAGAUUGUGAUCAGCCGCCCAAUGGCAAAUUCCCAUCUCCCACUAAUCAUCCUUCCAUCUUUCUUUCUACAUCCAACUUUUAGUCUUCAUCAUCCUCGCAAGCCAAUACAAGUAAUGUAUAAUUGUGUUGUUGCAUGGUUGCGGUUCUUCUUUUGUGCUUGUUCAUAUACUACUAUAGCUAAAAGAGGUUUGCAGGCAUCUGCUAGAUUCUCUUGCUUCUUUUUUCUUUUUUUUCUAAUCACAAAAUAUGACCAAUUGUUUACCCCAAAGUGAGAAUUGGAUACACAAAAGCAAAGUUGAUCAUGCCAUCUGUCACUAAUAAAUCUCGAGGAAUGUUGUCAGGGUGGUCCAAAGUCCAAACUAUGAUGUGAAGGGAUGAGGAGGCAUGUGCUUAGGAGGCAAAAGGCCUCCCCUCCCCUCCCCUCCUAUAGGAGAAUUUUAAGUCGAGGCUGUCUCAUGUGGAUCAUUAGACAGGGCUUGUUGGUUGGUUUAAUCGAGUAGGAUUGUGGAACGCCAGCAUGAACUGCAAGCAAAUUGACUUUAAUCAAAAGUGGUUGGGUCUUAAACCAUUGCUUGCUGUGACGGCUAACUUUGUUUAUGCAUGAAAAAAGAUACUGAGAUCAAUUUCAUGUGAGUGAGUAUCUCAACUCCACCACCGAUCGUACACCGCCCUGAUUAAGUUGAGGCUUUUUUGUUGUUGUUGUUGUUCUUCUUCUUUUUCUUUAAAGGCAAGCCAUAAUUCUUUCUGGAAUUUGAUGCUCAUUCAGGAACACAGGCCGACGUUUACCCGAAAAGGUACAAGUUGAUGGAGUUGCUUAGCAUCAUCAUCGAACACAAAGGGCAACGAUUAGAUGAUGGUGAUUUCAAUGCUGAGAGAAGAUUAGCAAACCAGCUCUUCACGGAAAGGAGGAGCGUUAUGAGAAGAUGAAAGCAACCGGUUCAGGAUUCAUUCCCUGUGCAUGGAUUACUGACUGCUAAAGCUUUGUUUUCUGCAACAAAAAGAUAAACUCCCAGGGCCAAGUCACCCCAAUGUCAAAAACUUUUGGCAUGAUGUUAUGGAUUUGUAGCUAGCAUAGUCUUCUUUGAAGCAAUCAAAUAAGAACCACCAAGCAUCAUCUUUCUUGCAGAGAGAGUGUUGGCAGUACCAUGAACAAGAUCUGGUUUGCUUAAGAGUACCACCUAUAUACAUUAAGUUAUCUUUGAAGGAUGGCCACUAGCAUGAACCACUUUGUUAGAUGGAGAUGGUCUUGGGGGAACUAUGCUCGCUCUUAGUUUGAUGCCUAAACUAAGUUAUCUUUGGGAAAGUGGAAAAGGUUAAUGGAAUCCCACUAUAAUGAUGCUGAUGAUGAUCCUAUUAAAAAUUCUACUUGGAACAACUAGCCUUUAGCCUUUGGCAAAAGGUCUGAGAAAAGGGUGCCUAUUUUUAUUCCAGGGAAUGAAUGCAUCACUCAUCAUGCACAGGUGCUCUGGUUUUUGCUGCAAGUAAAAAGUUUUGGUGGGGAAGAUGCAACAUGAUUUCUGUCUCUGCAUUUAUCUUUUGCAAAGCUGUUUAUGAACAUAGCAGUUGGUGAUCUGGUUUCAUGAUUAAUUGGUGGCCUGGUAAUCAUUAGUCUCAAAGAACUUUGCUGUCAGGAAAUGGCUCGAUGUUACAUUUGAUUGAUCUCCAUCUAAAGCAACUCUUUUCAUUAUUUGCUUGCUCAUGCAUUGUGGUAAACUUGGAUCCAUCCACCAUUUGGUGUAAAGCUUGAAGAAACAUGGCUGUUCAGUUGCCCAACUUGCAUGACAAGGUAAACAAAUUCAUCAUCUCAAUCAAUAUGCAAGUUGACACAUUUCCACACUCCUUUGUACUUGACAUGGCUAUGCCCAAGAUGGUUAAUAUUCCUUUUCUCAGCUAGCCAAUCCAUUGUGGUAUCACUUUCUCCUGUGCCUUGGACAGUCCAGUGCCUUUAGGACAUUGUCCAUCUGACAUGAUGUCUCAUGGAUUCUGUAUCAUGGAAACUGGUUAUGUUGCCUUCCUACAUGUGAUGCAAUUCUACUCA